AUACUUACCUGGCAGGGGAAAUGCCAUGAUUGGAAGGAGGUUUUCUCAGGGCAAGGCUCAUGUAUUGCUCUCCCGAUGUGCUGACCCCUGCGAUUUUCUCCAAUGUGGGAAACUCGAUUGUGUAAUUUAUGAUGGUCAGAGACUGGGAAGGUGGAAAGAACCUGGAUCUCCACUGA
ensembl:snRNA U1 U1 spliceosomal RNA